GACGAACGUUGGCGGCGUGCUUAACACAUGCAAGUCGAACGGAAAGGCCCUGCUUUUGUGGGGUGCUCGAGUGGCGAACGGGUGAGUAACACGUGAGUAACCUGCCCUUGACUUUGGGAUAACUUCAGGAAACUGGGGCUAAUACCGGAUAGGAGCUCCUGCUGCAUGGUGGGGGUUGGAAAGUUCGGCGGUUGGGGAUGGACUCGCGGCUUAUCAGCUUGUUGGUGGGGUAGUGGCUUACCAAGGCUUUGACGGGUAGCCGGCCUGAGAGGGUGACCGGCCACAUUGGGACUGAGAUACGGCCCAGACUCCUACGGGAGGCAGCAGUGGGGAAUAUUGCACAAUGGGCGGAAGCCUGAUGCAGCAACGCCGCGUGCGGGAUGACGGCCUUCGGGUUGUAAACCGCUUUCGCCUGUGACGAAGCGUGAGUGACGGUAAUGGGUAAAGAAGCACCGGCUAACUACGUGCCAGCAGCCGCGGUGAUACGUAGGGUGCGAGCGUUGUCCGGAUUUAUUGGGCGUAAAGGGCUCGUAGGUGGUUGAUCGCGUCGGAAGUGUAAUCUUGGGGCUUAACCCUGAGCGUGCUUUCGAUACGGGUUGACUUGAGGAAGGUGGGGGAGAAUGGAAUUCCUGGUGGAGCGGUGGAAUGCGCAGAUAUCAGGAGGAACACCAGUGGCGAAGGCGGUUCUCUGGGCCUUUCCUGACGCUGAGGAGCGAAAGCGUGGGGAGCGAACAGGCUUAGAUACCCUGGUAGUCCACGCUGUAAACGGUGGGUACUAGGUGUGGGGUCCAUUCCACGGGUUCCGUGCCGUAGCUAACGCUUUAAGUACCCCGCCUGGGGAGUACGGCCGCAAGGCUAAAACUCAAAGGAAUUGACGGGGCCCCGCACAAGCGGCGGAGCAUGCGGAUUAAUUCGAUGCAACGCGUAGAACCUUACCUGGGUUUGACAUGGAUCGGGAGUGCUCAGAGAUGGGUGUGCCUCUUUUGGGGUCGGUUCACAGGUGGUGCAUGCCUGUCGUCAGCUCGUGUCGUGAGAUGUUGGGUUAAGUCCCGCAACGAGCGCAACCCUUGUUCACUGUUGCCAGCACGUUAUGGUGGGGACUCAGUGGAGACCGCCGGGGUCAACUCGGAGGAAGGUGGGGAUGACGUCAAGUCAUCAUGCCCCUUAUGUCCAGGGCUUCACGCAUGCUACAAUGGCUGGUACAGAGAGUGGCGAGCCUGUGAGGGUGAGCGAAUCUCGGAAAGCCGGUCUCAGUUCGGAUUGGGGUCUGCAACUCGACCUCAUGAAGUCGGAGUCGCUAGUAAUCGCAGAUCAGCAACGCUGCGGUGAAUACGUUCCCGGGGCU
rnacentral:rRNA from 1 species